CUAAACAUUAAAGCAAGAUGAGUAAAUUAAAGCCUACUUAAAGAGAAUUUCCGGUUGGUGUGAGGGAAUAGCUGGUUUAAUUGAAGAUGGUCUUGAUGAAAAAUGACAUUUGCGAGCAUUAAGUAAGCAGAUGUUGGGUGCGCCCAUUAUAGCGUCAGAGUUAAGAUUAUUUGACUUGUUAAGGCUGGUUUUGAAAAAAAUCGGUGAAUUUGGGUGGUACCACGGAAGAAAGUCUUUCGUCCUUAUU
rnacentral:ncRNA from 1 species